rnacentral:lncRNA from 1 species
UUGCAGUUUCCCAAGAUCAUUCGUUGCAUCUCACAUGCCAAGCAGAUCUACUGAGCAGACCUGCUUCAGCUGGUAAGCACCUAGACCAACACAGAUUAAAAAUUCAUUUCAAUGUUUUUCAAGGAGAUCAAUGGUAAAAGAUAUUAAACUUGGAACACUUUUUACAGGCGAAGGGAGUCAAGGCAGCAGUGGCCCUUGGAGUUACCUGGAAGGUUUCACUCCAGUGAAGUCCAUUGGGUCAAUGUCAGCGUCACACUCGUACCUUCUAGUUCCUUCGCCAAGUAUGAGAUACCUCUCUCCUGCAACAUUACAGCUCCCGACAUGCCUCACAUCGGAGUCACCGCCGCUUGCCCAUCUACUGCACAGCAAAGGGACUGCGAUUCCUUUAGCGAUGGGCUAUGUCGUCUCGAAAGCCGUCCCACCUGUUAGGAGGGACUCUGCACAACUCACCAAGGAUGAACAGCCCUCUGUUCUCUCAGUCAGCAUCAUCG